UCAGCAUACCAAACAACUCGU
rnacentral:piRNA from 1 species